GCAGUCGUACGAGAGUUUUUAACUCAAGUGGCGGACGGGUGAGUAACACGUAAGAAUUUACCUUCAGGAGGGGGACAACAGUUGGAAACGACUGCUAAUACCCCAUAUGCUUUCGAGUGAAAUGGAUUUUCCGCCUGAAGAGAAGCUUGCGGCUGAUUAGCUUGUUGGUGGGGUAAUGGCUCACCAAGGCGACGAUCAGUAUCUGGUUUGAGAGGACGAUCAGACACACUGGAACUGAGACACGGUCCAGACUCCUCCGGGAGGCAGCAGUGGGGAAUUUUCCGCAAUGGGCGAAAGCCUGACGGAGCAAUACCGCGUGAGGGAUGACGGCCUAUGGGUUGUAAACCUCUUUUUUCAGGGAGGAAUCAAUGACGGUACCUGAAGAAUAAGCAUCGGCUAACUCCGUGCCAGCAGCCGCGGUAAGACGGAGGAUGCAAGUGUUAUCCGGAAUCACUGGGCGUAAAGCGUCUGUAGGUGGUCCAAUAAGUCAACUGUUAAAUCUUGAGGCUCAACCUCAAAAUCGCAGUCGAAACUAUUAGACUAGAGUAUAGUAGGGGUAAAGGGAAUUUCCAGUGGAGCGGUGAAAUGCGUAGAGAUUGGAAAGAACACCGAUGGCGAAGGCACUUUACUGGGCUAUUACUAACACUCAGAGACGAAAGCUAGGGUAGCAAAUGGGAUUAGAUACCCUGGUAGUCCCCUGAAUUCUGCAGAUA
rnacentral:rRNA from 1 species